rnacentral:rRNA from 1 species
AGCUUGCUCUCUGAUUCAGCGGCGGACGGGUGAGUAUGCCUAGGAAUCUGCCUGAUAGUGGGGGACAACGUUUCGAAAGGAACGCUAAUACCGCAUACGUCCUACGGGAGAAAGCAGGGGACCUUCGGGCCUUGCGCUAUCAGAUGAGCCUAGGUCGGAUUAGCUAGUUGGUGAGGUAACGGCUCACCAAGGCGACGAUCCGUAACUGGUCUGAGAGGAUGAUCAGUCACACUGGAACUGAGACACGGUCCAGACUCCUACGGGAGGCAGCAGUGGGGAAUAUUGGACAAUGGGCGAAAGCCUGAUCCAGCCAUGCCGCGUGUGUGAAGAAGGUCUUCCGAUUGUAAAGCACUUUAAGUUGGGAGGAAGGGCAUUAACCUAAUACGUUAGUGUUUUGA